rnacentral:lncRNA from 1 species
AACUUGAAAGGGCUGCACCACUGCCGAGCUAUGGGACAGAUGGAUUUCAACAGAGUGAUGACAUUAUGGGAAGCACAUUAACCUUCUCCAAAGCAGCAACAAAAGAAAAGCAAGAUUCAAUCACUGGAAUGAAAAACUAUUUCACAAAUUCAGUGAAUGUUUUAAGUCCUCUAAAAUUUGGCAUUUUGACUUUUGGAAUUAAUGAGUAGGAAAAUUUAUUUAAAAUGAAUAUUCCCCCAAAAAGAGAAGCCAUUUGAACCCUAAACUCUCUCAUCCAACAGAGCUAGCAAAUUAGAUUUAAGAAGAAAGAUAAUUUGAUUCCUCUGAGUUUCUCUACAAGGAAACAUCAAUCAGAGUGAAAGAAGAAUACACACUUUCCAAGGAACUUCUUGCAUUUCCCUCCAGGAGGAAAGUCCAGAGAAAUAAUUGGGUCUUUUAAUCCUCCGAGAAUGGUCUCCAAUGGCUGGCACUAGGACCAAAAAUCUCAGCAACCACGGGGAGAUGGCAGUGUGGACCUUGAACUGGCCCGAUCCAGCACAUGAAAAUCACUAAACACAUGAAAAUCACUAAGUUAAACCUGUAGG